rnacentral:lncRNA from 1 species
CCUGCGGCAACUAGACCCACAAAGUAAACAAAAGGAUUGUUGCCUAAUCAUCGAGAUGGAAAAGAAACGAACUGUGAAGGCAACCCCUCAGUUUCCCACGGUCAAUGAGUUUCUGAAGGAGAUGUAGGCUGGGGCUGUGCACACUGCCUGAUUCCCUGAACUCAGCCGCGACUAGGAAGGCCUUCCGGAAGACCAGGGAAACGGGACCCCGGAGUCUUAAGGAAUCAGGAGAUUUCCCCACUUCCCCCUCUAGCCAGGAAACAGCCAGUGCAACUGUUAAAGAACUCAGGCCCUGACUCUGCAGAUGUCAAAAGAGAACUAAUAUCUGUAGCAGAAUAACGGCACAAGGGCUCCUUGCGGGAUUCUGCUUCAUUUAGAGUCAAUUACUCUUUGCUUCUAAGAGGAACACAGCUUUGAAGUAAUAUGAGAACAUAUUUAAUCCUGCCCUACCUGGGAUACCCGUUUUGAGGCAUUUUGCCAAAAUCUCAGGCAGAUGAUUCCCGAUUCCUUCUACUUCUACGUCUCUUUCAUUAUCCUAAUGAAUGCAGAGAUCAAAAGUCCUAAAUAUUUCCCAGCAAACAUUUCCGGGGGCCUCUAACUUGACAAGUGUAUGACCCUGCACCCCAAGUAGGUUGAUGGUGAGCAGGACAUCACAGAGUCCCCACACGAGUCGUAGGAUUUUAGAAGCAGUCAGAGUCAUGGUAUAUUUAUCUAGUCUUGAGCUUCAGGCUUAACGUCAUUUCCUCAUCAAGAAUGGGGAAAAGGGUAAUUGGAUUUAAAUGUCAAGAUGUUCCAAGUGUUGGGGUGGAAGACACAUGUCUGGUUUUUUUUUUUUUUUUUUUGCUACUUUUUUCCUUUGGUUUUAUGAUAAUGAAAACUGAAACCACUUGUUGCUGGGAGAUGGGAGUGAAUCCAUUAGGACUUGAAAAGAGGGGCAGCGAUGGUCAGAGGGCAGGCGAGUGACUAUCAGAUGCAGACGGCAAGGGACACAAAGGGGUAAGAAAGCUUCGUGAGAGACUCAGCCAGGCACGGGACAUCUGAAGAGGGACCAACGAGAGUCCAAAGGAAGAGCUGAUUAGGACGGCAGUUGGGAUGAUGGCCACACUUCAGAGAAGACUGCAUCAAGUUUUGCCGUCCCCCGAGAACAGAAGAAACGUCAACGUAAGGAGCUAAGAGCAUGGGAGGGGACCAUGAAAGUCUACCUCAGUGGAUGACACCGGGUUGUGGAGCAACGCAGAUGGACUACAUAUUAUUUCAUAGGCUACUUUCUACAUGACCACAAACCCCCAACUUCCAAAGUUUGUGGUAGGGAAUUGGGGAAAGUAGCCAGAUUGUUAGUGCUGGACACUUCCUGUAAGGAUGAGACAAGUGUCUGGACUGGCUGUUCCCAGCUGAACCAAGGGCAGAUCAGAUGUAAGCUCUCAGCUAUUGCUCCAGCACCAUGCCUGCCUGUCUGCAGCCACGCUCCCUGCCAUAAUGGUCAUGAACUCUAACCUUCUGGAACGAUGAGCCCCUAUUAAAAAUUGUCUUGGUC